UGAAAAUAUCUGAGCUGCCUCCUUUCAUGACUUCCAAAAUAUGCGUGGCUGCCAAAAAGUCACCCACUUUGGGGCCAAUUUUUGGCGCGUACAUGUGCAUGAUGUCCAAUAAAGCCGUUUGUGAAGGCCGCGUGCAGGCCGAGUCGCAUCUGCAAGAAGUUUUCAAUGAAUGCA